rnacentral:rRNA from 1 species
UACAGAGGGGGCAAGCGUUGUUCGGAAUUACUGGGCGUAAGGGCGCGUAGGCGGCCUGCUAAGUCGAACGUGAAAUCCCUGGGCUCAACCCAGGAACUGCGUCCGAUACUGGUUGGCUUGAAUCCGGGAGAGGGAUGCGGAAUUCCAGGUGUAGCGGUGAAAUGCGUAGAUAUCUGGAGGAACACCGGUGGCGAAGGCGGCAUCCUGGACCGGCAUUGACGCUGAGGCGCGAAAGCCAGGGGAGCAAACGGG